rnacentral:rRNA from 1 species
AACGAACGCUGGCGGCAUGCCUAACACAUGCAAGUCGAACGAGAUCUUCGGGUCUAGUGGCGCACGGGUGCGUAACGCGUGGGAAUCUGCCCUUUGGUUCGGAAUAACAGUUGGAAACGACUGCUAAUACCGGAUGAUGACGAAAGUCCAAAGAUUUAUCGCCAGAGGAUGAGCCCGCGUGGGAUUAGCUAGUUGGUGUGGUAAAGGCGCACCAAGGCGACGAUCCUUAGCUGGUCUGAGAGAAUGAUCAGCCACACGGGGACUGAGACACGGCCCAGACUCCUACGGGAGGCAGCAGUGGGAAAUAUGGGACAAUGGGCGAAAGCCUGAUCCAGCAAGGCCGCGUGAGUGAUGAAGGCCUUAGGGUUGAAAAGCUCUUUACCCCGGGAUGAUAAUGACAGUACCGGGAGAAUAAGCUCCGGCUAACUCCGUGCCAGCAGCCGCCGUAA